AGACUAGAAUCUCCAUGGAUGGACUCUGACUCUAAACGAAGGAAUCUGAGCUUUAUCAACAUUGAUAAGCUUUCUAGCUUGUGCAGGCAGCUGGUGGAACUCCUCAAAAGUGCCAGAAAUCUCCUCAUCAAUGGCAUAAUUAGCUAGGCUAUCUGCCACAGCAUUUCCUUCCCUGUACACAUGAGAAAAUCGAAUUUGUUUAUCCCUCAUGUAAUAAUUUUCCUGA
rnacentral:lncRNA from 1 species